rnacentral:rRNA from 1 species
GACAGAGGAUGCAAGCGUUAUCCGGAAUGAUUGGGCGUAAAGCGUCUGUAGGUGGCUUUUUAAGUCUGCCGUCAAAUCCCAGGGCUUAACCCUGGACAGGCGGUGGAAACUACCAAGCUGGAGUACGGUAGGGGCAGGAGGGAAUUCCGUGGUGUAGCGGUGAAAUGCGCAGAGAUCAGGAAGAACAUCGGUGGCGAAGGCGCUCUGCUGGACCAUAACUGACACUCAGGGACGAAAGCUAGGGGAGCGAAUGGG